GAUGAACGCUGGCGGCGUGCCUAAUACAUGCAAGUCGAGCGAACAGAUAAGGAGCUUGCUCCUUUGACGUUAGCGGCGGACGGGUGAGUAACACGUGGAUAACCUACCUAUAAGACUGGGAUAACUUCGGGAAACCGGAGCUAAUACCGGAUAACAUAUUGAACCGCAUGGUUCAAUAGUGAAAGGCGGCUUUGCUGUCACUUAUAGAUGGAUCCGCGCCGUAUUAGCUAGUUGGUAAGGUAACGGCUUACCAAGGCAACGAUACGUAGCCGACCUGAGAGGGUGAUCGGCCACACUGGAACUGAGACACGGUCCAGACUCCUACGGGAGGCAGCAGUAGGGAAUCUUCCGCAAAGGGCGAAAGCCUGACGGAGCAACGCCGCGUGAGUGAUGAAGGUCUUCGGAUCGUAAAACUCUGUUAUCAGGGAAGAACAAAUGUGUAAGUGACUGUGCACAUCUUGACGGUACCUGAUCAGAAAGCCACGGCUAACUACGUG
rnacentral:rRNA from 1 species